CUACACGACCGUACCGCAAACCGACACUGGUGCGCGAGAUGAGUAUUCUAAGGCGCUUGAGAGAACUCAGGAGAAGGAACUCGGCAAAUUGACACCGUAACUUCGGAAGAAGGUGUGCCCUAUUAGUGUGAAGUGAACAACGGAGCAUGAAUGGGUUGCAAAAAAUCGGUGGCUGCGACUGUUUAUUAAAAACACAGCACUCUGCAAACACGAAAGUGGACGUAUAGGGUGUGACGCCUGCCCGGUGCUGGAAGAUUAAAUGAUGGGGUGCAAGCUCUUGAUUGAAGUCCCAGUAAACGGCGGCCGUAACAAUAACGGUCCUAAGGUAGCGAAAUUCCUUGUCGGGUAAGUUCCGACCUGCACGAAUGGCGUAACGAUGGCCACACUGUCUCCUCCUGAGACUCAGCGAAGUUGAAAUGUUUGUGAUGAUGCAAUCUCCCCGCGGAAAGACGGAAAGACCCCAUGAACCUUUACUGUAGCUUUGUAUUGGACUUUGAACAGAUCUGUGUAGGAUAGGUGGGAGGCUUUGAAGCAGGGUCGCUAGAUCUUGUGGAGCCAACGUUGAAAUACCACCCUGGUGUGUUUGAGGUUCUAACCUAGGUCCAUUAUCUGGAUCGGGGACAGUGCAUGGUAGGCAGUUUGACUGGGGCGGUCUCCUCCCAAAGCGUAACGGAGGAGUUCGAAGGUACGCUAGUUACGGUCGGACAUCGUGACGAUAGUGCAAUGGCAUAAGCGUGCUUAACUGCGAGACUGACAAGUCGAGCAGAUGCGAAAGCAGGACAUAGUGAUCCGGUGGUUCUGUAUGGAAGGGCCAUCGCUCAACGGAUAAAAGGUACUCUGGGGAUAACAGGCUGAUACCGCCCAAGAGUUCAUAUCGACGGCGGUGUUUGGCACCUCGAUGUCGGCUCAUCUCAUCCUGGGGCUGUAGCCGGUCCCAAGGGUAUGGCUGUUCGCCAUUUAAAGAGGUACGUGAGCUGGGUUUAAAACGUCGUGAGACAGUUUGGUCCCUAUCUUCCGUGGGCGCUGCAGAUUUGAGGAAGCCUGCUCCUAGUACGAGAGGACCGGAGUGGACACACCUCUGGUGUAUCGGUUGUCACGCCAGUGGCAUUGCCGAGUAGCUAAGUGUGGAAGAGAUAACCGCUGAAAGCAUCUAAGCGGGAAACCCGUUUCAAGAUGAGAUCUGCCGGGGCCUUGAGCCCCCUGAAGAGUCGUUCAAGACCAGGACGUUGAUAGGUCAGGUGUGGAAGUG
rnacentral:rRNA from 1 species